rnacentral:tRNA from 1 species
GGGCCGUUAGCUCAGUUGGUAGAGCAGUGGACUUUUAAUCCAUUGGUCCUAGGUUCGAGUCCUAGACGGCCCACCA